GAAAAGAUGGCUGAGUGGUUAAGGCGAUGGACUGCUAAUCUGUUGUGCUCUGCGUGUGUGGGUUGGAAUCUCAUUCUUGUCU
rfam:Xenopus tropicalis strain Nigerian Chr03_contig_3557, whole genome shotgun sequence.